CAUUGAAUCUAUGUUGAUUUUUCAUCCGAACCGUCGUAUAUGGUCGGGGUUGAAAUGCCAAUGUUGUAACAACAUUGAAAUACUGUGGUAAACCGACGGUCUUACUAUAGGGACGUUGUAACGAUGUUGAUUCACCGUUGUUUUUUUGUCAUUGAUAUUUGAUCUAUUUAUAGUCGACCAGGUGACAACAACAACAUCGAGAAAACGUCUAUUUAUAGUUGACGAUCAUUCGGCUCCGGUCACCAUCAAAAACCAUCGAUUUGUAGUUGAGCAUUAAAUUGCAUUGCAACUGAUCGGGUAUAAAGUACCAGAGAAAGUAGAUUUAUUGUUCAUUUGUUAUCAAUGCCUUGGUGUGGUUCACCAGCUUUAAAAAAUCGUGUCUACGUGCAAUUUAUGUAUAGUUGACCGGGAAAUUAAAGCAGCGAUCACUUGGACUAUUCCGCAGCACCCCUCUCACAUUGGUACACCCCCCCCCCCCCCUCCCCCGGUAUUCAUUGUCUUCUACAGUAGAGCGGGACAUUUAAUUUACUCUCAGCGGAAUUGACCGGAGAAGGCAUCAGUUCAUGCACUGCACUGGCCCGCACCACGAUUAGUAUAAGGCACAUUUCACGAAGCAGAACGCAGUCUUCAGAGAUAUCCACGUGAACGCUGUGAUACGUCUGACCUUCAGUCCGAAGAAGAAACCCAGACCAGUCUUAAAAGAAAGCACAAACCAAAUCCCCUGUACACAUAUACGGACUCAGAGGAUGAGCAGCCUACAAAAAAACGGUUUCCCCAGGCCCCUCGAGUGAAAAUACCAGCCCUCAUCACUCCGCAGUCUGCCCCCCAGCCCACUGAUAGCAACCAUCAUAAUGCCCCACCCAGCUUCCGGCACCUUUCGCCACUCCGGCACAAACCGACACAGCUUUGCGAUCUCCCCAGCAUGCAGAGUCUGAUGUCUUCCCUAUAGAUGAUUCCAGAGACUCUGUGAAGCCACUAUUACAAGGUGAGACGCUUUGCGUUGAUUGGUGCUGCUGGACCACACUGGAGGUGCGAGUCUGCUGUGUAAUGGUUUAUGCCAUUACAAAGGAGCUGGCGUCUGUACUCAACUGGGCAGGGAAAAAAUACCAAGGACCAGACAAAGCAAAAAAAGGGCAUUUAAAGAGACAGCGCUGUGCAGAUGCAUAUUUGAUGGCCUGGCGCAGCAGGUAGGGGCGAACUCUAUGUCUGAGUUGGUCUUUGCUCAAGCAGUCCAGAAAUGGCUCAGAUAUGCUCCAGGUCGUACGGGUGGCGCGCAGGACACACAUCAUCCAUCCCCAUCCCGGAGUAAAUAAUAAAAAGUGACGUGAAACAUAGAAAUGUAAAUAGGAAACUUUGUCUUUUAAUAAAGUAUUUUGCAAAUGA